GAAAUCAUUCGGAGCCCAGCAAUUUCAAAUCUUCCCUCUGAGCUCCCGUCGGCGAACUUUCUCUCCCUGUGUCGUCGUCUUCUCCCCGUUGAACGUUAACCGUUAGCUCCUACUUCGGAAUCAACUGUAAAUCAAUUCAAUCGUAAAUUGUCAAAAGUAAUGCUGAGCAGAUUUUGCAAUGUCUGCGCCUGCUAAAAAAAGUUCUACUGAAGCUAAGGAGAAAGAUCUUAUCCUCGACAACGACAUGGAAAAAGAUACAUGGAACUUUAAGUCAAUGGCAGAUGAUCCGAUGGAUUUUGCCUUUGGGUCGCCAGCUAACAAGAAGAAGAAUGCCUUCAAGCUGGAUAUGGGUUUCGAUUUUGAUGGAGAUUUUGGAAAUUCAUCAUCAUUCAAAAUAGAUAUGCCAGACUUCGAUUUCUCCAGCCCAGCCAAGAAAACCACAAAAGCGAAAGAAAGCCCUUGUGAUAAAUCUAGUGGAGAUUUAAAGCAGAAAAAGAAUCCAUUUCCCUUCUCUUAUGACUUUGAUGCGUUAGACGACUUUAAUCUUGAUUCAAGCCCACCGAAGAAAGGAGCCAAGACAACGACUAAGGCCAUGGAUUUCGAAGCGAUUUCUACUAUAAGUAAAAUUGAUAAGUCUGACUCUUUGGACUUUGGUGAAGACUUACCGAUAACCAGACAAGCUGCCUCCGUGUCAAACACCGAAGUCAAGGAAAAAGAUUCUGCUGAAAAAGAGAACAUAAAUUCCAAGACUACAGAUACUAUGGUUGUGGAGAGUAGCGCAUACUCGAAGCAAGCUACAGAAGAGAGGAUGGAGAACUCUGAGGCUGUGGAAUCACCCCAAGGUCUAAGGAUAAAAACCUCACCUACUCAUACAAUGUGUCUGCAACCUGAAUCUGUAGACGCUUCACCAUUGAAGACAUCAUGUGUAAUGCUUGAAGACACAGGUGAUCCAUGUCUUUCAAACGAGACCGCAGCACCCUCGCCAUUACAUGCUUCUGAGACUACACAUACUGCUGCAAACAGAGAAAUCAGUCCAGAUAUCAACGAAAUCUGCAGGUCUAGCUCAAAAGUAGACUCUCCUAGAGAUCCAGAACAGAAUGCAGACAAAGAUAUGAUUUCCGCAAUGGACACAAGCUAUGAAAAGGCUGAACAGACUAAACCAAGCAUCUCAUCUCAGUUAUGUUUGGACAAAAUGGAUUAUCAACAGGAAGAAAUGGGUAUAGGCACUCAGGCAGAAAUGCAGGAUCACACUAGAAGAACAUCAUCUGAUCCAGAUCAUGGACAUCCUCAAACAACUCUCUCAGGAAAAAUAUCACCAAGCUCUCGUCAAAGCCAAGCUGCCCAAGUACAAGAUUCGAGUGGAAAACUACCACUGGAUCCAUCCCACAGCGUGCCAGGGCUCAGUGAUUUAAAGAUCACGCAAAACAAAGACUCAGGACUUAUCAGAUCCAAAUUUUUUAGGAAGACAGAAAAACCACAAUCCCAUGUACUGAAGUCCUCUCUAACUCAAACAGAGAGUCGGCCAGUGACCCGAGAAAAGAUUGCGGUUAAUAUGAACCUUACAAAUGAUAGAAGACAUGAUAUACAAGAUGUGUUGCCUGGAUCCAAAACUAGAGCAUGUCCAGUUGAGCUUGUGAAAACGGAUUCUGAAACAGCAAAUGUCAAUUCUAUCAGCAGGUCUCAUGAAAAGAUAAUCCAUAAGGACCAUUCAAAUGCCAAGACUGCAGAAAAUGUGGCUGGACAGUUGGAUCAUUUAAAGAUGCAAGCUAAAAAUACAACUAGAGAGAAGUCCAUCUUGCAGAUCAAUAUAAGCUCAAAACUCGAUGCUUCUAGCUUGACUCAGAAGGUAAGUAAAAAAUUGAGUUCUGGAGCAGAAGCUUUGCAGAAGUCAAAGUUGGUAUCUCUUGAAAGGCCUAAACUUGGAAAUAUGAUGUCUGAUCCGCGUUCUUCGAAAACCCAAAGGACCAUUGGAGUAAACAAAGACCAACCCAGUUCUGCAGUGCAACCAGAAGUUAGCGCUUCAAUAAGCAAGGACAGAAAUAUCGAAGCUCCAGUUGUAAAAGGCUCUGAGAUUCAUCAUUUGGCUCCUAGAGACAAAACACAAAUCAUGCACUUCCCAUCUUUAAAGCGGAAAGCUCUUGAUGAGGAUGCAGAUAGAUCACUGAAGCCACAACUUAAACGAUUUUCCAUGUCUCCAAGAGAAAACAGGAACGUUGAGGAGCUCACUCAUAGAGUUGCGCAAGGAAAGUUCUCAAGCCAAGAGAGUAGAAUAGAUAAUACGUCUCAUCACCAGAACGGAAACAUGGCAAAUCUGGAAAUCCCGGUCACUGAGAAUUCUGAUAACAUAGAGAAAGCUGAAGCAUAUACAAAAGAACUCGAGAGUAUAUGCAACACUCUGAAGAAGAAGCAUGAGGAAGCGAAAGAGUUACUUGUCCGUGCUGUAGUAAACAACAAUAAGCUACUGAUGCUCAACCAUCCUUUACAUGAAGACAAGAUUCGUAUGAUCCAGAAGUUCGCAGCCAAGUUGAGUUUGAGGGACACUCAAACCACCACUGUUGCUUAAGAGGUUCGAUGGACUUACACCAACACUAUAUCGUCGACAGUACAGAAGUGUUGACGUCACAUUACUCCAAGCCAGGAAUAUUUGAGAUGUUAGCUACUGGAAUUUUUCCCCAUCUGAGAAGUGAAUCGAAGUCGUCUUUCUGUUAAAUGAUAACUGAUACUAUGUCCUGUGGUUUAGGAAAAAACCUGUGUCAUGGAGUUGGAUUGUGGAUUAUGUGUACACUGAUAAGUCAUAACUGUGUCAUGAACCUUUUUUAGAGCAUCCCCACCUUAUUUUUGAGAUUCACCAAACUUCAAAAUUUGAAGUUUGAAAAACAAUUUCAACUGCAGUUUUAAAUUCUUUGUAUUUUGUAUUGAAGUCCAUAUUCAUUAAAUUAAGUUGUAUCAUAAUUUUUUCGUUAUAAACAAUUAAGUUUGUAA